rnacentral:rRNA from 1 species
AGCGGCGGACGGGUGAGUAACGCGUGGGUAACCUGCCUCAUACAGGGGGAUAACAGUUAGAAAUGACUGCUAAUACCGCAUAAGACCACGGUACCGCAUGGUACAGUGGUAAAAACUCCGGUGGUAUGAGAUGGACCCGCGUCUGAUUAGCUGGUUGGCGGGGUAACGGCCCACCAAGGCGACGAUCAGUAGCCGACCUGAGAGGGUGACCGGCCACAUUGGGACUGAGACACGGCCCAG